rnacentral:rRNA from 1 species
GAACACCGGCGGAAUGCUCAGUAACACGUCAAUAAUCUGACCUUAGGUUAAGGAUAACCUCGGAAAACUGAGGCUAAUACUUAAUAUUUAAUACAAUCUGGAAUGAUGUAUUAAUUAAAAGCAAUGCCUAAGGAUGAGUUGGCGGCAGAUUAGGUUGUUGGAGAGGUAAAGGCUCACCAAGCCAAUGAUCUGUAGGGGCCGUGAGAGCGGUAGCCCCGAGAAGGGUACUGAGGAACUGACCCUAGCCCUAAGGGGUGCAGCAGGCGCGAAACCUUUACAAUGCACGAAAGUGUGAUAAGGGAAUCCCGAGUGCUUAUGUAUUACAUAGGCUUUUGUUAAGAGCAAAAAUCUUAGCGAAUAAGCGAUGGGUAAGACUGGUGCCAGCCGCCGCGGUAACACCAGCGUCGCUAGUAGCAAUCGCGUUUAUUGGGCCUAAAGCGUUCGUAGCUGGAUUGGUAAAUUUUCUGUGAACUUGUUGUGCUUAACAUAACAGCGUGCGGAAAAGACUGCUAAUCUUGGGACUGGGAGGAGUUAGAGGUAUUCUUUGGGAAGCGGUAACAUGCUAUAAUCCUUAGAAGACCACCUGUGGCAAAGGCGUCUAACUAGAACAGACCCGACAGUGAGGGACGAAAGCCAGGGGAGCGAACCGGAUUAGAUACCCGCGUAGUCCUGGCCGUAAACUCUGUGAGCAAGGUGUUGCAUAUCCUUGAGGAUGUGCAGUAUCGAAGUGAAGACGUUAAGCUCACCGCCUGGGAAGUAUGGUCGCAAGGCUGAAACUUAAAGGAAUUGGCGGGGGAGCACCACAAGGGGUGCGGCGUGCGGUUCAAUCUAACUCAACGCAGAGAAUCUCACCAGCAGCGACGGUAGAAUGAAAGUCAGGCUGAAGGUCUUACUUGACAAGCCGAGAGGUAGUGCAUGGCCGUCGUCAGCUCGUGCCGUGAGGUGUCCUGUUAAGUCAGGCAACGAGCGAGACCUGCACUCAUAAUUGCUAAUGGGUUCUUCGGAACGACCAAGAACAUUAUGAGGACUGCCCUCGAAAGGGGGAGGAAGGUGCAGGCAACGAUAGGUCUGUAUGCUCCGAAUCUGCUGGGCUACACGCGCGCAACAAUGGUUGGGACAAUGGGAUGCAACUCUGAAAAGAGAAGCUAAACCUCUAAACCCAAUCUUAGUUCAGAUUGAGGAUUGUAACUCAUCCUCAUGACGAUGGAAUCCCUA